CUCUGGGAGUUCAGAACAGCUCUUGGAGUUCCUGCAGAGAGGAACAUGAAAUUGGGAUAGAAGGACAGGUUCUUUUUAAAUUCGUUGUUGUUGGCACAGACUUGCACGUGUGUAGAACAGGCUGGGCUGGAUCUUUGGCCUCUCAUGUUCUGUAGAGCAUGACAAGAAAACUUUGGUGUUAAAAGUCUGCCUCCUUUUUCAAGGUGUGUUCCCGAUGUGCUGCAGCUGUUUGCCAACAGCUACUCAGAAGGAAAUUGUGGCUGAAAAGGUAACUCCUCCCUGCCCAUGCCAGUGCUGUGCCACCAAGAGUCUUUCCUGUGCAGAGCCACUGCUCCUGGAGCCCCGCAGACGUGCAGGUGCCCUCCCGUAGAGCUCUCCCCAGGACUCUCCCGGCUGUGUUUCCAACACGUCGCGUUUGGGGGAGCCCCGGGCGAGCGGCUCGUGAGCUGGGCACAGCUGGGGGCUCCCAGCCCAACCACCCUUCAUGCACCAGUGAAACUCCCUGGAUGGGGUGCACGUGCUUGGCCACUUAAGGAUGUCCUUCCCGGAACCCCCAUCUUCCCUGGGCUCAGCUGAAAUGCCCCCAAGCAGGGAGGGGUAGCUGCACCUCCUGCAGCCCUUCCUGCCCAUACCUCCCUGCUCAUUUUCUUUGGUUUUCAGAUUGUCUGUAAAACUGCAGCAGCUAUGGAAGCACAACAAGUACAGGGAGGCAGAGGGUGCAGAGCAGGUAAGGGCAGGGAGCAGAUGCCAAUUCUGCUCCUCUGCCUGCAUCACCUGCUCUUCCUCACCACUCCAAAUCCUUCCCUUCCAUGGCAAUUUCCAGGGUUUGCCUGAGCUCAGCGAAGCUGAAUUGCUGUUGGUUCAAUACAUCAUGGACGCCCUUGACAAAGAGGAAGAAGAAUUGCAGGAACGGGAAGAAUUGCAGAAAAAAAAGCAGGAAGAGAACACAGAUGUCUCCCAGGAAGAGACACAAUGUGAAGAACUCGAAUAGGGAGAGAAGAUUUUCAAGAUGUCAAGAACAAAAAAAUGAAGUGUAAGGAAAUGCUGUUACUCAGAGACAAGGUGCUCCUGCCUUGGCCCUGCCCAGCAUCCAGCACCCCAAGAUCUGGGCUGCUGGCUCCAUGACCACUCUCUGCAGAGGAGGAUGCUGCUGGUGGGUGCCGUGCUUAGGACACCCCAAAGUCCCCUGGGGACUGGGACAGGAGGAAUCCAGGAAGCCCCAGGUGUCCCAAGCAGACACCGCAGACCAGCCUCUGGAGCCACAGCUUUCCCAGGGCCAUGACAUCUCCUGGGGACACCCUGCGCAUGUGACAGGGCUCCCUUGCACAGCCCCCUGUGUGCAGCUCUUGUGUCUGUUCCCAGCUGGGAAUGAUUGCCCAAUAAAUGCUGAUUUUGUUUAUUUAUUUUAAUAAAUACUGCUGUACAGCCAGCGGGUCUUGGAAGUGUCCACAUGUUUGCUGGGCGGUGCCCAUUUCUGUGGGACUGCACACACGUCUGCAGGGUUGUGCUUGUGUACAUGGUGCCAGAAGCAGGAUUCCCAUUUGAAGUGACAAGCACUGAACCCCUGGGAUCUAGCCUGGUGCAUUAAACACCACUCAUGACAAGUCUGUUCACAGACAAUACAGACAUAAUGAGAAAGUUCAAGCUCCAAUGCAGAACUACGUUAAUUCUCGAAAACAGCCAAAGGAGUAGGAGAGCCAGUCUUGGGUUGGACAUAAUCAGCUUUUCUACCAGGGUUUGAGCCCUGUGAAAGCAGAAGGAGAGCCAAAAGUCGAGCAUCAUCUAAACAGGAACCUGGAUUUUCUCUCUGACCCCUUGGUUCAGAGUGGCCCCGGUGUGAGCAGCAGAGGAGGAGCCAUGGCUUACGAGGAGCAUUCCUCUCUGGCUGGGCGCCUCCUGAUCAUGCCUGACACCACAGACUCACACUGGAAGCAACAGGAAGAAGACUCCAGGUUCCUCAAUAUACCUUGGAGCCACCAAGGUCUAGACCUUUUGCCAGUUCCAGGAGAGCUCUUGGAAGCUGUGGUUGAUCGUCACCUGCGCUUGCUGGUGCCGGACAAAAGCCUGCAGAUGUUCAUGGCCCACGUGGAGCGAGCCCUGAGGAUGGACUGCAGCCUGCCCCAGCUCAAGCUGGUGUGUGCCAAGAUGGUCUCAAAGAUGGGGCUGCUUCUAAAGGCGCUCAGUGAGAGGCAAUAGACACACGGAGCCUCUGAUCCCAUGGACCAGUAUUGUGUGCAAGAGAACAUCUCCAGACAAAUGGCCUUGAGGAAGGGCAAGUAACUCACAGAGAAGGUAGGAGAGCUGCUGGGUACUGCUGCAUGUGUCCUCCUCAAGAUGAGUCCUCCUGCCCUUCCUGCCCCCUAAUAAAGAAGAAGAAUUCCAGGAUGAGACACAAUGCAAAGAAUUCAGGAGAUGAGGAAAAGAAUUUAAGAAGGUGACAAAGUAAUUGGGACACCAACCAUUCUCCUCCACCUCCUGUGUGAACAAAGCAACUGCUGAGGCUUUCCCUGGAUGCUUUUUCCCUGCUAUUUUUUUUGUUCUGCUUGAGAGGGAAGGGCCCCAGAGAAGCAGCAACAGUGAGAGAAUGCCAUCAUGCCAGGAGGAGGUGUCUGUGCCAAGUGACUGCGGAGCACCCCAAGAGCCAGCACAUUUAUCUCUCUCAGCAGAGGAGGGUGCUGUGGGUGGCCAUGAGCUUGGGACAUCCAGAGGAGGCAUCAGUAUCUCAGGCUUUUCCUCAUCCCUUGUGGCAAUGUUUCUCCCUGCAUUCCGUAGAAAUUAAGUUGGUCCUUGUUC